UUUAAUUUUUUAUUUUUUAUCUAAUGGUUUAUUGAAUGAUCAUUGACCUAGCUUUAUUUUUUUAUUUCAGGGGGCACCGUUUUCAUCAAGUCCAUUGAUGCCUCCGCCCAUUGCAAGAAUGCCACCUACCUAUGUGAGCAGAUAGAGGAGGUGAUUGAAGAUGUGGGUGAGGAGAACGUGGUACAGGUGGUGACCGACAAUGCAGCAAAUUAUGUUGCUGCGGGUAGACUAUUGAUGGAGAGGCACCCAUCUAUAGUUUGGACUCCAUGUGUUGCUCAUUGCAUUGACCUCAUGUUGGAGGAUAUUGGAAAAAUCCCAUGGGUCAAGAGAUGUGUAGAAAGGGCAAGAAAUGUCUGCAAAUUUGUAUAUAAUCAUUCAUGGGUGUUGGCUCUUAUGAGACAAUACACAGAGCAGAAGGAGUUGCAUCGUCCAGGAAUCACAAGAUUUGCCACAAACUUCCUCACAUUGUAGUCCAUGCUUAGGUCUAAGCCUACCUUGAGACGUAUGAUUGUUGGUGAGGAGUGGUCUUCCUCAUCCUAUGCUACCACCCCUGCAGGGAUAGAGAUGGCAGACUACAUUUUUGAUGAGCAAGGCUUUUGGGUCCCUUGUGAUGAGAUAGUGAAGUUUGUUAAGCCCUUGGUGGUUUUGUUGCGAGUUGCGGAUGGAGAUAAGCCCGCAAUGGGCUAUAUAUAUGAGGGCAUGGAUAGGGCGAAGGAGGCCAUC